rnacentral:rRNA from 1 species
CAACUUUCAACAACGGAUCUCUUGGUUCUGGCAUCGAUGAAGAACGCAGCGAAAUGCGAUAAGUAGGGUGAAUUGCAGAAUUCAGUCAAUCAUCGAAUCUUUGAACGCACAUUGCGCCCUUUGGGAUUCCAAAGGGCAUGCCUGUUCGAGCGUCAUUU